UCGAGGAUAUUUAGCAAUGGACGAAAGUCUGACUAUGUGACGCCGCGUGAGGGAUGAAGGUCUUCGGAUUGUAAACCUCUUUCGAUAGGGAAGAAAACCUGCUCUUAACGGAGCAGACUGACGGUACCUAGAGAAGAAGCCACGGCCAACUCUGUGCCAGCAGCCGCGGUAAUACAGAGGUGGCGAGCGUUACUCGGAUUUAUUGGGUGUAAAGGGCAAGUAGGCGUCUUAACAAGUUGGAGGUGAAAUCCUGCAGCUCAACUGCAGAACUGCUCCCAAAACUGUUGAGAUUGAGACUGGAAGAGGAAAGCGGAAUUCUCGGUGUAAGAGUGAAAUCUGUAGAUAUCGAGAGGAACACCAGUGGCGAAGGCGGCUUUCUGGUCCAGUACUGACGCUGAAUUGCGAAAGCUAGGGGAGCAAACA
rnacentral:rRNA from 1 species